UACGGAGGAUGCGAGCGUUAUCCGGAUUUAUUGGGUUUAAAGGGUGCGCAGGCGGUCUGUUAAGUCAGCGGUCAAAGCCCGGGGCUCAACCCCGGCCCGCCGUUGAAACUGGCAGUCUCGAGUUGGAGAGAAGUAUGCGGAAUGCGCGGUGUAGCGGUGAAAUGCAUAGAUAUUACACAGAACACCGAUUGCGAAGGCAGCUUGCUAGGCCGGAUCUGACACUGAUGCACGAAAGCGUGGGGAUCGAACAGG
rnacentral:rRNA from 1 species